rnacentral:rRNA from 1 species
CUCCUACGGGAGGCACCCAGAGACGAAUAUUGGUCAAUGGACGCAAGUCUGAACCAGCCAUGCCGCGUGCAUGAAGACGGCUCUAUGAAUUGUAAACUGCUUUUGUACGAGGGUAAACUCACCUACUUGUAGGUGACUGAAAGUAUCGUACGAAUAAGGAUCGGCUAACUCCGUGCCAGCAGCCGCGGUAAUACGGAGGAUUCAAGCGUUAUCCGGAUUUAUUGGGUUUAAAGGGGUGCGUAGGCGGUUUGAUAAGUUAGAGGUGAAAUCCCGGGGCUUAACUCCGGAACUGCCUCUAAUACUGUUAGCACAUAGAGAGUAGUUGCGGUAGGCGGAAUGUAUGGUGUAGCGGUGAAAUGCUUAGAGAUCAUACAGAACACCGAUUGCGAAGGCAGCUUACCAAACUAUAUCUGACGUUGAGGCACGAAAGCGUGGGGAGCAAACAGGAUUAGAUACCCUGGUAGUCCACGCAGUAAACGAUGAUAACUCGUUGUCGGCGAUACACAGUCGGUGACUAAGCGAAAGCGAUAAGUUAUCCACCUGGGGAGUACGUUCGCUAGAAUGAAACUCAAAGGAAUUGACGGGGGCCCGCACAAGCGGAGGAACAUGUGGUUUAAUUCAAUGAUACUGCGAUAAAUCUUACCCGGGCUUGAAAGUUACUGACGAUUCUGGAAACAGGAUUUUCCUUUGGGGCAGGAAACUACGGUGCUGAUGGUCCGACGUUACCUCUAGCACUCAGGUGUCCAGGAGUUGACCUUGAAGAUUGCUCCCUAUACAGUCAGAUUCUUCCCUGUCAUUCUUGCCCUUCUUAAGGGACUAGCAUUAUGAACUUUAUAGGAUCAUAGGGAAUCCUCGCCAAUGCGCCCCGUCUCUCCUUUUGCGGUCUUAUUUGUCCGCUCAACCGCUAUUUUUCAUUUGGUUUACUUCUCGCUAAUAAGUAGGUUUCUCGUUAUUUAAUUAGUUAUGUAGUUCUGUUGAUUUUUCGAGGUUGUACCUAUUUUUAAGUGAUGAUCUUCUCUAUUAUUAUCUAAUCAGUUCCUUUACCCUUUAUUUCACUUU